rnacentral:rRNA from 1 species
AGUAGCCGCGGUAAUACGAGGGGGGCAAGCGUUGUUCGGAUUUAUUGGGCGUAAAGGGUGCGUAGGCGGUUUGGCAAGUCUUAUGUGAAAUCUUCGGGCUCAACCCGAAGCCUGCAUGAGAAACUACCGGGCUUGAGUAUGGGAGAGGUGAGUGGAAUUUCCGGUGUAGCGGUGAGAUGCGUAGAUAUCGGAAGGAACACCUGUGGCGAAAGCGGCUCACUGGACCAUAACUGACGCUGAAGCACGAAAGCUAGGGGAGCAAACAGGAUUAGAUACCCGCGUAGUCCCUGUCUCUUAUACA